UACGUAGGGGGCAAGCGUUGUCCGGAUUUAUUGGGCGUAAAGAGCGUGUAGGCGGCCAUUCAGGUCAGCUGUGAAAACUCGAGGCUCAACCUCGAGACGUCGGUUGAAACCGUAUGGCUAGAGUCCGGAAGAGGAGAGUGGAAUUCCCGGUGUAGCGGUGAAAUGCGCAGAUAUCGGGAAGAACACCCAUGGCGAAGGCAGCUCUCUGGGACGGUACUGACGCUGAGGAGCGAAAGCGUGGGGAGCAAACAGG
rnacentral:rRNA from 1 species